rnacentral:rRNA from 1 species
AGAGUUUGAUCCUGGCUCAGAUUGAACGCUGGCGGCAUGCCUUACACAUGCAAGUCGAACGGCAGCACGGGAGCAAUCCUGGUGGCGAGUGGCGAACGGGUGAGUAAUAUAUCGGAACGUGCCCAGUCGUGGGGGAUAACGCAGCGAAAGCUGUGCUAAUACCGCAUACGAUCUAUGGAUGAAAGCGGGGGAUCGCAAGACCUCGCGCGAUUGGAGCGGCCGAUAUCAGAUUAGGUAGUUGGUGAGGUAAAGGCUCACCAAGCCGACGAUCUGUAGCUGGUCUGAGAGGACGACCAGCCACACUGGAACUGAGACACGGUCCAGACUCCUACGGGAGGCAGCAGUGGGGAAUUUUGGACAAUGGGCGCAAGCCUGAUCCAGCAAUGCCGCGUGCAGGAUGAAGGCCUUCGGGUUGUAAACUGCUUUUGUACGGAACGAAAAGGCUCUGGUUAAUACCUGGGGUUGAUGACGGUACCGUAAGAAUAAGCACCGGCUAACUACGUGCCAGCAGCCGCGGUAAUACGUAGGGUGCGAGCGUUAAUCGGAAUUACUGGGCGUAAAGCGUGCGCAGGCGGUAAUGCAAGACAGAUGUGAAAUCCCCGGGCUUAACCUGGGAACUGCAUUUGUGACUGCAUUGCUGGAGUGCGGCAGAGGGGGAUGGAAUUCCGCGUGUAGCAGUGAAAUGCGUAGAUAUGCGGAGGAACACCGAUGGCGAAGGCAAUCCCCUGGGCCUGCACUGACGCUCAUGCACGAAAGCGUGGGGAGCAAACAGGAUUAGAUACCCUGGUAGUCCACGCUGUAAACGUUGGGCGCUAGGUGUGGGGACCUUCCACGGUUUCCGCGCCGUAGCUAACGCAUUAAGCGCCCCGCCUGGGGAGUACGGCCGCAAGGCUAAAACUCAAAGGAAUUGACGGGGGCCCGCACAAGCGGCGGAGCAUGUUGCUUAAUUCGACGCAACGCGAAGAACCUUACCAAGGCUUGACAUUGCCCGGAAACACUCAGAGAUGGGUGCCUCUUCGGAUCGGGUGACAGGUGGUGCAUGGCUGUCGUCAGCUCGUGUCGUGAGAUGUUGGGUUAAGUCCCGCAACGAGCGCAACCCUUGUUCAAUGUUGCCAGCACGCUCCUUCGGGGGUGGUGGGGACUCAUUGGAGACUGCCGGGGUCAACUCGGAGGAAGGUGGGGAUGACGUCAAGUCAUCAUGCCCCUUAUGUCUUGGGCUGCAAACAUGCUACAAUGGCCGGUACAGGGGGCUGCGAUACCGCAAGGUGGAGCGAAUCCCUAAAAGCCGGUCUCAGUUCGGAUUGGGGUCUGCAACUCGACCCCAUGAAGUCGGAGUCGCUAGUAAUCGCAGAUCAGCAACGCUGCGGUGAAUACGUUCCCGGGCCUUGUACACACCGCCCGUCACGUCACGAAAGUCGGCAACACCCGAAGCCCGUGGCCCAACCAGCUUGCUGGGGGGAGCGGUCGAAGGUGGGGCUGGCGAUUGGGACGAAGUCGGAACAAGGUA